rnacentral:sRNA from 1 species
AAAGAAGAAAGAAAACU